rnacentral:rRNA from 1 species
GACGAACGCUGGCGGCGUGCUUAACACAUGCAAGUCGAACGAAGUGGCGAACGGGUGAGUAACGCGUAAUCAACCUGCCCUUCAGAGGGGGACAACAGUUGGAAACGACUGCUCAUACCGCAUACUGAAGGCGGGGAUUGCGUCUGAUUAGCUAGUUGGAGGGGUAACGGGCAACCAAGGCGAUGAUCAGUAGCCGGGCUGAGAGGGGGAACGGCCACAUUGGGACUGAGACACGGCCCAGACGCCUACGGGAGGCAGCAGUGGGGAAUCUUCCGAAAUGGACGAAAGGCUGACGGAGCAACGCCGGGUGAGUGAUGACGGCCUUCGGGUUGGAAAGCUCUGUUAAUCGGGACGCGGUACCGAAAUAGAAAGCCACGGCUAACUACGUGCCAGCCGCCGCGGUAAUUC